UUGUGACGUAUAGAAAAGCGACAUCUGUGAAAAUAGUAUGGCAAAUAUUGACCUAAAGGUUAAAGUAACGCUUUAUAUUGACAAUACAGAUACUCUUUCCUCAGGCUAAAGCAAAGAACGGUACUCGAUCCGCUACUUGGUUUAAUACUCCCUAAAGCAUUAGACCCUAGGAGUACUGUCCUUCCCCUGAUUCAACUUAAUGACAUACAAUGGUCGAUUACUGGCGGAGGUGGGAACUUGGACUGAGGCCUAUAUUUGGAGUUGAGUCCAUAUUUUGAAGAUGAUCUCACAAAUAAAGACUCGAGACUUGACUAGGACUUGCGACUGGAAUUUGACUCCGAAGCUAGUAUAUUGUGCACUCAAGAAAAGCAUGACACUUUAGACCCCAUAUCAUAGUUAUGAACUUGAAAUGAGCUUGAAUGAAAAGUGAGUAUGCGAUAAAAAUAUUCAAGGACUUUUACAUGACUUGAGGUUCGACGUGGACUUGCAGGAUAAGGACUUUUUCCCUCCUCUGAUUAAUGCUGUGUCAUAAGCUGCAGGAGUGGAAACGACACUCCAAAAUCUUUGGAAUCUAUGGGUUAAACAUAUGUAGAAAUAGAUAUACACCUACUAUAAUUCAAGUGUGGCCUCAUUAUAUUUGUGAAUAAGGACUUAGAAGACGACCUAUCAGAUAACAAAUCCUGGCUUUUUACAUGUCAUGGACUAGUAAAAUGAAGUAAACUAAAAAAAAGAUAUAUGUAGUUCGAUCAAUAUUUGUAACUGAAACACACUCUUGCUAGGGGUGAAAUAUGAAUUGGGCGUCGUCUGAAGCAAGGCGCAGUAAAUUAUUGGAAUCAUUUAAUGAACAAAUAGAUUCGUUUCACUCCUCCAAUCAACUGAAUAAUUUUUCACAUAUCCAAUAAAGGUUACUCUUAGAGCAAAACCUUAAUUUUAUCCUGAUCUUUAUCAUAAGAAGCUUCCAUUGUCAAGGCUUGUGUAUAUUUGUGAUGUGUUAAUGUAAUUCAUAACGCCAUAGCUUAUUUUAAAGGUGGAAAGACUAUAAUGUGGAACAAAAAGCGAUGAUUAGGAAAAUUGAAGAAUUCAUUUCUUCUAAUGUCUCGUAAGUGCAGGAAGACUAAUAUAUAUAAUGGACCUUGUUUUUAAGUGCUAUGUGCGUAGUAAAAUUAUGCUAUGAUUUUUAAACUGAUUGAAUUAAUAGCUUAGAAAACAAAUAAUUUCAUAGUUUAAAGUUCCUCUGUUAAUUUGCAAGAAAAUAGAAAACGAAAGAAAACAUAGUGAUCCUGGAGCAAAUAGAAGAGUGAAUAAACUGUCAAAUGUAUCUUGAAUUAAUUUUAUGUGUCUAUAUCCAAAAAUGAUUGUAUUUAAUAUUAUAAUUGUAUCUAUAAUAUUGUAGCAAGUUAAUGUGCAUUUUAUUUCUGUAUUCAGGGUGAAAUAUUAUUUUUACUGAACUGAAUUAUUAAAUUAAUUAUUUAAACUGAUGUAUUUGUCCUUCAAAAAUAAAGUAUCAACUUCAGUUUGGGGUUGUGCAAGAUCA
rnacentral:lncRNA from 1 species